rnacentral:rRNA from 1 species
AUUGAACGCUGGCGGCAUGCCUUACACAUGCAAGUCGAACGGCAGCGGACCUUCGGGUGCCGGCGAGUGGCGAACGGGUGAGUAAUAUAUCGGAACGUACCUUUCAGUGGGGGAUAACGUAGCGAAAGUUACGCUAAUACCGCAUAUUCUGUGAGCAGGAAAGCAGGGGAUCGCAAGACCUUGCGCUGAUUGAGCGGCCGAUAUCAGAUUAGCUAGUUGGUGAGGUAAAGGCUCACCAAGGCGACGAUCUGUAGCGGGUCUGAGAGGAUGAUCCGCCACACUGGAACUGAGACACGGUCCAGACUCCUACGGGAGGCAGCAGUGGGGAAUUUUGGGCAAUGGGCGCAAGCCUGAUCCAGCCAUGCCGCGCGAGUGAAGAAGGCCUCGG